rnacentral:misc_RNA from 1 species
UGAAGUAUUUGAAAUGGUUUGUUGCUGCCUUGAAAAAGGAUUUUGCACCCAUUCAAUUUUCUAUUUAACCACUUGUGCACUUUUCAUGGACUGUGAGUAACCCUCACUGAAAAUUGUGGAUUUGAAAGCUAGUGGAAGCUUGCUUUCUACCAUUCACAGUCUGUGUUUUUAUUUUAUACACUAUUGAAAUGUAAAUGAAUGUUGAUUAUGGGUUGUAUGACCUAUAUAAUUAAAUACAACUUUCAGCAACGGAUCUUUAGGCUCUGGUAUCGAUGAAGAACGCAGCGAAAUGCGAUAAGUAAUGUGAAUUGCAGAAUUCAGUGAAUCAUCGAAUCUUUGAACGCACCUUGCACCCUUUGGUAUUCCGAAGGGUAUGCCUGUUUGAGUGUCAUUAAAUUCUCAAGUCUUACAAGUUUUUUCUUGGAUGAUUUGGAUUCUGAGGGUUAUGUUGGCUCUAGUAGUCGGACUCCCUUUAAAAAUAUUAGUGGCUUGUCGAUCCCCAUUAUUUGGUGUGAUAGCUCUAUCUACAUCAUGUAUAAUGGCAAGGUCAUGUAAUGGCAAUUUAGCUGCUCUCUAAUAGUCUAGAAAUAGACAAUUUGAACCAUUUGACCUCAAAUCAGGUAGGACUACCCGCUGAACUUAA